rnacentral:tRNA from 1 species
GCUCACGUAGCUCAGUGGUAGAGCACGCGCCUUUUAAGCGUGUGGCCGUGGGUUCGAGUCCCACCGUGGGCA